UUGACAGCACUUGCCAUUUAAAUCUCUAUGAUGACCACAAUCAAAUCAUGCAAGGGGUAGUGUUCAAAGCAGCACAGUGAACUUCUUAGAAGGGAUCUCAAAUUCGUUUUAUAAAGUGGCAGUGGCAAAAUUCAGUCCCUUAUCAUUUAAAACACACGACCAUCCUGAUGUGCUCAAUAAAAUCCUACCCAUGCAAACACCACUCUUGGAACUGCCACAGCCUUCCUUGACUGACUCCAAAAUUUGUGAGGUAGAGAGACAGCCACUUCAUUUUAGUAUGCAGGAAGAGUUGAAGAAUAACACAAUCACAAUGGUGGAGCAGAGUAAAGUUCUGAACACUCCUGGUGCAGAGAGACAGACUAAGAGGGAGCUUUUCGAUGCACUUCACCGGGAACUCUAGUAAGUUGUGGCAGCAGUACUUGUACAAUCGUGUCCUAAUAUCCACAGCAUCCAUCAGGUGA